rnacentral:rRNA from 1 species
CUACGGGCCGCUCCAGUAAGGAAUAUUGCGCAAUGGAGGCAACUCUGACGCAGCCAUGCCGCGUGCAGGAAGAAGGCCUUAUGGGUCGUAAACUGCUUUUAUUUAGGAAUAAACCCCCGAACGUGUUCGGGGCUGAAGGUACUAAACGAAUAAGCACCGGCUAACUCCGGGCCAGCAGCCGCGGUAAUACGGAGGGUGCAAGCGUUAUCCGGAUUUAUUGGGUUUAAAGGGUGCGCAGGCGGGCUAUUAAGUCAGUGGUGAAAUCCCGGGGCUCAACUCCGGAACUGCCAUUGAUACUGAUCGUCUUGAGUUUGGUUGAAGUGGGCGGAAUGUAGCAUGUAGCGGUGAAAUGCAUAGAUAUGCUACAGAACACCAAUCGCGAAGGCAGCUCACUAAGCCAAAACUGACGCUCAUGCACGAAAGCGUGGGGAUCAAACAGGAUUAGAUACCCCAGUAGUC